rnacentral:antisense_RNA from 1 species
CUUCAGCGACCCGAGCCACAGCGGUUCGUCGCGGUCCUGCCCGUAGGUCGCCAGCAGGGCCUGCGCCUC